rnacentral:rRNA from 1 species
UACCAGCUCUCCGAGAGGUAGGGAUGAUUAUUGGGCUUAAAGCGUCCGUAGCUGGCUUAGCAAGUCUCCUGUUAAAUUCAGCGACCUAAUCGUUGAGCCGCGGGAGAUACUAUUAGGCUAGGAGGCGGGAGAGGUCGACGGUACUUUCGGGGUAGGGGUGAAAUCCUAUAAUCCCGGGAGGACCACCAGUGGCGAAGGCUGUCGACUAGAACGCGCUCGACGGUGAGGGACGAAAGCUGGGGGAGCGAACCGGAUUAGAUACCCGGGUAGUCCCAGCUGUAAACUAUGCGGGCUAGGUGUUGGGGUGGCUACGGGCCACUUCAGUGCCGCAGGAAAGCCAUUAAGCCCGCCGCCUGGGGAGUACGGCCGCAAGGCUGAAACUUAAAGGAAUUGGCGGGGGAGCACCACAAGGCGUGAAGCUUGCGGUUC